GUGCCCAGACAGAGCCACCUCCAGCAGCCAGCGGGUGAAUUAAAACGAAAUUAAAACAAACAAACCUUCGAUAAAUCCUUUUACCCACCUGAUGGCCACAAACAUCAUUUUAUUUUUAGGGUUUGCUGCAAAAUUUUGGGGUCCUUGGGUAGAUCCGAGGAGAGGAAGGGGGGGUGGGUCAGUUCAUCCCCCUCUUCACCGUUCCCUGCCUCUCCUGUCCCUCCCAGGUGGCCCAGUACAUCAAAUUCGAGAUGCCCAUCCUCAGGAGCUUCAUCCAGAAGCUGGAGGAGGAGGAGGACCGGGAAGUGAAGAAGCUGAAGCACAAGUACUCCAUUCUGCGGCUGAGGAUCGAGCAGAGGCUGGAGGAGAUCUGCGAGGGCCCCACGGCCAUGUGAGCGUCCCUGGGAUCAGCUGCACCAAACCCCAGCCCCAAAAGGCUCCUGGUGGCCCCAAACCCCCUCCCACGCCCUCAGCCCCGCAGAAUCCUCGGGGGGCUCCUCCCAGGAAGGCUCUGGCUGGCGGCAGCUUCAGCCAAAUCCUCAAAUCCCGGGGAGAAAAACAAAAAAAAUAGAGAGGAAAAGAGGAAAUGUGUGAGCAGCACCGAGGUGAGGGCUGCCAGGAUUCCAGAGCUGGGAUUUUUGGGGGGGCUCAGGUUGGAAAUGCCCAUCGUGGCUCCCCGUGAGGGUCCUGCUGCUCCACAGAAGAGAGCACAAAAAAAAAAAUUCCUCUUUUAUUUUUAGAGAGAAGCACAUUCCUGCCCUAUCACCGCAAUAAUUCCCAGGUGUCGGGAGGGUUUUGUCAAUGCCAAGGCUUGGCUGAGAUUUUGGGGGGGUUAACCCUGACCUGGGUGCUCAUGGGUGGGUUUCCAGCCCAGGAGAAAAUCCCAUUUUUCGCCCAAAGCCGUGGCCGUGGCGUGGCCCCUCUGUCCCCCCGUAAUUUGCACUAAUAUUUUGGGAUUUUGGAGAAAACCACCCUGUCCAAGCUCUCUGGUAGCUGUAAAUGCCAAAUAGCACUCGCAGGGGGGGCUGAGGGCCUCCAGCACCUCCAGGGGUCUGGGGGGGAGAGCCAGGAGGAGGGGGAGGCAGAAAGAAAGAGGAUUUUGUUUUCCAAAUCCAUUUUCUAGCCAGGAAAUGAUCCUGGUGGAACCAGGACCUGGAAAAACCUCCUUCCUCCCAGGCUAAACCAGCAAUACCCAUUUGAUACCUCGAUGUCAACUAAACCUCUGACUUCCUCCCCCUUCCCUCUGAGUUUUUGCAAUGCAUCUUUGUCAUUUUUUCCUAAUUUUAAUUUUAAUUUUAAUGGUACCUUUUCCACCUUUAACUGGCGUUGGGGAAAGUGUUGCACAGCGAGAGGAGCUUUGGGUGUGUUUGAAGGAUGAUUGUGGCACUGCUGCGUGGAUUAACAAGGAAAUAAAAUCAAAUAAGAUGUAGCA
rnacentral:lncRNA from 1 species